UACGUAGGGUGCAAGCGUUGUCCGGAAUUAUUGGGCGUAAAGAGCUCGUAGGCGGUUUGUCGCGUCUGCUGUGAAAACUCGGGGCUUAACUCCGGGCCUGCAGUGGGUACGGGCAGACUAGAGUGCGGUAGGGGAGACUGGAAUUCCUGGUGUAGCGGUGAAAUGCGCAGAUAUCAGGAGGAACACCGGUGGCGAAGGCGGGUCUCUGGGCCGUAACUGACGCCGAGGAGCGAAAAGCGUGGGGAGCGAACAGG
rnacentral:rRNA from 1 species